AGCUUUGCGCAGUGGUAGUAUCGUAGCCAAUGAGGUUUAUCCAAGGCACGAUUAUUGCUAACUGAAACUAAGAAUUCUAGAAGGCAUCAGAAAAAAUCUUUGUGAUCUUUGGUUUGGCCAAGAAUUCUUAGGACACAAAAAG
ensembl:snRNA U4 U4 spliceosomal RNA